UACGUUAGCAGCCAUAGGAAUGAUGGCGGAUACAACGAGCGAGGGGGGGAUGGUUGAUGGUCCUGCCCCGGUGUCUGUCUGACCUUACUGCUUAUCACUCUCCUCCUACUUGCUACACUCAAGGCCUCCCUUUAGUUCCUUGAACAUCCCAACCUCGUUCCUGCCUCAGGACCUUUGCUCCUGCUGUGCCCUCUUCCAGGAACACACCUGCCUAGAUUUUGCAUGGUUCUGGCCUUGGUACAGAUGCCUGCAGAGAGGUUUUCCCCAUCCUUCCAAUCUAACAUGCUACCCAGCCCCAAGCCACUUCUCUUGAAACCACUAUAUUAUCUCCUUCGCAGCACAUAUCACCAUCUAAAACGACUGCAUGUGUCUAUUUAUUAUUCCUUGCGUGUUGUCUAUGAGAUGACUCUGUAGUGGAUCAUCAGUGGAUCCCCAGCUCUGAGGACAGUAUCUGAGGCAGAAUAGAUGCUCCAUAAAUAUCCAGUGACUGAGAGAUGCUGAGAAGCCAUCAGUGACACGCAAUUUGAGACACUCACUGUGAGAUUUCUAGGUGGAACCUGGAGAGAAUCCUGUGGCCAGUGCUGUGUGACCCUGGGCAAGUUGCUUCACCUCUCUGAGCUUCAGUUCCUUCUUCUAAGGCGGGGGCUAGAACCACAGGUCCUACUUUGGGAGCUGCAUUCGUACAGGUUCUAAAGAGGUGACUGUUUGAAGGUACUCCUAUAAGUAACCAAGGGAGGGCCCUGCAAGCGGACGAGGAGUUAUCAGAGCGCAGGGCGAGGUGGCUGGCCGGCUGGUCCAGAUGGAUGCUGGACCGUGGACCUUGGCCUCUUUAGAACCCUCCUUCAGGGCAGCAAGCUGAGCAACCUGGAUAUCCUCUGACAUGCAGCAUUUUAAAGUGACCGCUCCUAAGUACAGAAGGCCCCGAAUUCGCCGCCUCCCUUCCUGAUCACCCUUCACCUGCUGUCACUGCCUGCCAGGGCCCCCUCCCUCCUCCUGGGAUGAAGGGAGGAGACUGUGUCUCAAGUCAACAUCACUUAUCUCCCCAAACACAGGCUGACACCUCAAACAACAGGACAGGGGUGCCCCCUGAGGGAAAGGGACUAGCUGCAGCAGGGAAUAAGUCCAGGUCCAAGAGGAAAGAAGGAUGGAAGGAGGAAAACGAGGCCAAGAGAGCAGAGGAGUCAAGGUCCUGCUGAGAACCUGUGAUGGCCCAGCCUCUGCUCGGACCCAGAAGCCACGGACGCCGAGUGGGACCCGGACGUGGGGCUCCGGGCCCAGCGGGCUGCUGGCUUCACUGUCACCCAGCUGCUAGGAUGCAUCUAGGAUGCUGCUCUGACCCCACCCCCAAAAGCAGCCUGGAUGGAAAUGGGCCUGGGAGGAUGAGUCAUUUCCAGGCAGCCGUGUGUGCUGUGGGGCUUGAACAUUCCCAGGCCAGCAGCCCUGAGAUGGGCUCCGAACGACAUGCUGCCUCUGGAGUUGCGUUUCCUGACUUGGGACACUGAUUCACAAUGAGACACUUAUUUUAGCCGUGAGCAGACAGCUUUGCAACCUGUGGGGGCGCUUUUGUGGUUAUUACGACGAUGGCUGAUGCUUCUGACAUCACAGUGGGAGGGAGGUGAUGUCAUGGGUGAGGGACACCCUGGCAACACAAAUGACAAACCCACUCAAGGAGGAAGGGUCCUGACUGCCUUGCAAACUCUGGACAUCUGCUUAGAUUAAAAACAAAAACAAAAACAUGAAACAUGCUUCAAUCUCUCAGCCAAAAUCUCAAUGUGGGUUUAUGUAUAAAUUCAACUUUAAAUUCUACUGAACUUGCAACUAUUGGGAUUUAUCGUUUUACCAGGAAUCAUUCACCAUUUGGGAAAAUCGCAUCACCAAGGCGACACUGUGUUGCAGGUGGCGUCUGAGUUGCCAACACAACACACCUGUGUCAAUCUGCAUCGUGUUUGCAGCGAUUCUAUCUUUAGGUGCCAACAUGUGACAUUCCGGUGGAGCCGUGCCUGUGCGCUGAUAUGUUAAAUUAUAGGCUCUUUCAUUACAAAUG